GGGGCAGUGGCCAAGCUGGUUAAGGCAGUGAGCUCAUAACUCAACGAUUCGCGGGUUCGAGUCCCGCCUGCCCCACCA
rnacentral:tRNA from 1 species